rnacentral:misc_RNA from 1 species
UCCGGCUUAUCACCGGCAGUUUCCUCAGAGUGCUCAGCAUUACCUGUUAGCAACAGAGGACGAGGGUUGCGCUCGUUGCGGGACUUAACCCAACAUCUCACGACACGAGCUGAUGACAGCCAUGCAACACCUGUGCACAGGCCCCGAAGGGCUGCCGUGUUUCCACGACAUUCCUGUGCAUGUCAAGCCUUGGUAAGGUUCUUCGCGUUGCGUCGAAUUAAACCACAUGCUCCGCUGCUUGUGCGGGCCCCCGUCAAUUCCUUUGAGUUUUAGCCUUGCGGCCGUACUCCCCAGGCGGGGUGCUUAAUGCGUUAGCUUCGGCACGGAUGGGGUCGAUGUCCACCCACACCUAGCACCCAACGUUUACGGCUAGGACUAC